CCCCCCCCCCCCCCCUCUUUCUCUACCUCUCUCUCUCUAAUAAUGAUCUACCUCACAAGCCGCUGUUGUAAACCUUCAAAGCCGCCAUCCUUGAGCUAAAAUACCCCUGGAAAGACGCCUAGAAAGUGUUGUGAAGAACUUGGCCAAAGUUAGGGUUCGAAAGUCAGAUUAAAAAAAUUAGGGCUUUUUUUUGUUAGGGGUAUUUUAUUGUUUUUAAUGUUGAGUUCAGAGAGAAUGAGUUUGUCGCUGUCGCCAACUAAUUAGACGAAACCAAUAUCAGUUAUAGAAUCCA
rnacentral:lncRNA from 1 species